rnacentral:rRNA from 1 species
UACAGAGGUCUCAAGCGUUGUUCGGAUUCAUUGGGCGUAAAGGGUGCGUAGGUGGCGCGCUAAGUCAGGUGUGAAAUUUCGGAGCUUAACUCCGAAACUGCAUUUGAUACUGGCGUGCUUGAGGACUGGAGAGGAGACUGGAAUUCAUGGUGUAGCAGUGAAAUGCGUAGAGAUCAUGAGGAAGACCAGUGGCGAAGGCGGGUCUCUGGACAGUUUCUGACACUGAGGCGCGACAGCGUGGGGAGCAAACAGG